CCAUAGCCCUGAUGGUAACGGUUACCCCGCAGUUGGAUUUGAAAAGCGGAAGGAUAAGGCUGGUGAGAAGCGCCGGCACGAGGAGUAUGAGUGGACAGCAGGUUUCCGG
rnacentral:misc_RNA from 1 species